CUGAGCACUUGUACCCUGAGUCUGUUCACUGUUACUGACCAUUUGCCUGGCUUAUGACUACUCCUAUUGGAUUCUCUACUUUGCCCCGUUAGCCAAUAAUACGACCUUCUGCCUGUUUUCGGAUCAUCAUUUUGGAUGACCUCUAUUGCCCUGUCUGCCUGAAUACCGAUCUCUGCCUGUUUCUGGACUACCCUGUUUCCUAAUAAAACCCUCUGCACUUGGAUCCCUCCUGAGUCUGGUCUGGUUUCAGGAACACUGACUUCUUGAACUGUUCCCACGUCAUACCCGAUUUGAAAGGAAGAUGGAGAAAGAAGAAACAGAAUUAAAGACACAUUUAAAAAAAAGAACAAGUUCUCCAUUGAUCUGGACGGACGCCAGGUCUUUCCAUCCAAACAGAAACAUCCAAGAGCUGUACCUCACUGCAGAGCAGAGCUUAAACAAACAGCAGUGACAUAUCCAGCUCUGCCCCUCUCCUCCUCCACCACUCUCCCCUUACACUGAGGAUUUAUGAGGAGUUCCUGUUCGUCAGAGCGAGGGGAGUUCCUGCUUCGGCCCCGUCCUCGCCCCAGAGCCUGUUGAUCAUCCGCGCAGUGGUGAAGUCUGGGAUUAUUGCUUCUGACGUUGACAUCUCUGGAUGAUUUCAGCUGAUCUAGGCGUGGUUCCAGACGACCUCAGCACUGGUGACCCGAGGAGAGGGUCACACAUACUGGGCUGGUCCCUGAGGGGCCGUGGGGAGGGGGGGUGUCCACACCUUCCCUGGACGCACACACCAACACCCCCACCUAAAUCUGAUAACAAUUACUACAUGGAGUUUUGCAAAUGAUUCUACCUCCCCUUACUGGGGCCUACAUCUGGAGUUCCUCAACAGAGAGAGAGAAUGUAUGUGUGUGUUUCGAUGUGUACAUGUAUUCUUUUUUUUCAAGGCCCUAAAAUAUAUAUGUAAGGCCAUAAAAACAGAUGACAGACAUCCACAACUGCACUCUCAUGAAGCCACCAUCUUUAGAGCCAGUCGCAUAUCAGCC